AGCGAACGCUGGCGGCAGGCUUAACACAUGCAAGUCGAGCGGGCACUCUCGGGUGUCAGCGGCGGACGGGUGAGUAACGCGUGGGAACGUGCCCUCUGGUUCGGAAUAACUCAGGGAAACUUGAGCUAAUACCGGAUACGCCCUUUUGGGAAAAGAUUGCUGCCGGAGGGUUGGGCCGGGGCUGAUUAGCUUGUUGGUUAGGUUAAGGCUCACCAAGGCGAGGAUCAGUAGCUGGUCUGGGAGGAUGAUCAGCCACACUGGGACUGAGACACGGCCCAGACUCCUACGGGAGGCAGCAGUGGGGAAUAUUGGACAAUGGGCGCAAGCCUGAUCCAGCCAUGCCGCGUGAGUGAUGAAGGCCUUAGGGUUGUAAAGCUCUUUUAUCCGGGACGAUAAUGACGGUACCGGAGGAAUAAGCCCCGGCUAACUUCGUG
rnacentral:rRNA from 1 species